GACGAACGCUGGCGGCGUGCUUAAUACAUGCAAGUCAACUGAACUUGAGGUAGUAAUAUUUCAAGGGAGGUGGCGCACGGGUGAGUAACACGUAGGUAAUCUGCCUUUAGGUCUGACAUAAUCCAGCGAAAGCUGGACUAAAAUCAGAUGAUGCAGCGGCUCGACAUCGAGACAGUUGUUAAACCUUCGGGGCCUAAAGAUGAGCCUGCGUCUGAUUAGGUAGUUGGCGGAGUAAGAGCCCACCAAGCCUUCGAUCAGUAGCUGGUCUGAGAGGAUGAUCAGCCACACUGGAACUGAGACACGGUCCAGACUCCUACGGGAGGCAGCAGUAAGGAAUAUUGCUCAAUGGCCGAAGGCUGAAGCAGCAACGCCGCGUGGAGGAU
rnacentral:rRNA from 1 species